rnacentral:tRNA from 1 species
GUUGGUGUAGCUCAGUGGUAGAGUGCACGCUUUGUAUGUGUGAUGUCCUGGGUUCAAUCUCCAGCUUCUCCC